GGGGCUCCCGUGUGUCCAUGUCUCUGUGACCGCACGCGGCUUUUUGCGGUUGCUGGUGGCCACGUUAGCGCUGCUUCUCUCUGUGUUCCAGGGAAACUCCAACAACAUAGCCACGGUGGACAUCUCAGCGGGCUUCGUGGGCCUGGACACCUACAUGGAAGUCCCAGCUGUGUUCCUGACAGCGUUCGCCACGUUUGCGGGGCCUGUGCUGUGGGCCAGCCACUUAGUGAGCUUCCUGAGCUCAGAAACCAGCAGCGGCUCUGCGCUGAGUCAUGCUUGCUUCUGCUAUGCACUGAUGUGUUCUUUCCCCGUCUCUGCAUAUAUCGUUCUGGUGACAUCGCUGCGCUACCAUUUAUUUAUCUGGAGUGUGUUUUCUCCGAAACUUCUUUAUGAGGGAAUGCACAUCCUCAUCACGGCCGCCAUCUGUGUGUUCUUCACAGCCAUGGAUCAAACCAACACGCAGUCGUAGACACGGGGAAGACAAUGUAUUUUUAAAGUCCACUAUUCACUUCAUGCAUUUGGGUAAUGAAAAAAAUCUGUCUAAAUCUGAGAACUUUCUAGAGAAAAUUGUGAAUGCUACAAAGUUGGUGAAUAGCUUCAGUCUCUCUCUGCUGUACUUGAAUAUAGAUUAAAUAGUAGUUUAAAAGGUCAUUUUAAAAUAUUUAGUUUGAAUAUGAAUCAUACUCCCCUGUUGACAAUCACUCCGUAAAGUUCUGAAUUUUUGAUUUCCUCUGGAUAAGAGUUCACUCAAAUAUGUGUGUUUAAAUUGAUGAACAAAAAGGUCUCAAGUUUACCGUGGUGUUUGCGGACUUAGAGAGCACGGGAACUCUGGGAGAAGAGUUACCUGCCGCCGGGGUUUACCUUGCAGAGUCCAGACCCCUCGAUGACCCUAGAAACCACUGGAGGUCCCAACGAAAGUUAGUGUGUGUUACGUCUUCAACGUUAAGACAUUUCAAAAACUGUUCAUUGAAAGUAAAGAUAUAAACUCAUUCCAUCUUAACAUAGAAUAUUUUUAAGAAAAAUACCUUUCCAAAACAAGAAUAUGUACUGAGGAGAGUUGCGUUGUUUUAUGUUUUGCACAUCUCCUCGGCUAGGUUAGAGUCCGCGCUCUGCCUGUUGUCAUGUGUGUCUGGUUGGAGUAGUCACACAGAUACAUAGUUGGGAAAGGGAGGAAUAUUUUUUUAUUUAAAUUCAAUUAAUUAGCAGUGUGUUAUUAGUUUCAGAGGUGAGUGAUGAAUCAGUCUUACACAACACCCAGAGCUCAUUACAUCACGUGCCCUCCUUAAUGCCCAUCCUCCAGUUACCCAUCCCCCACCCACUCCCCUCCAGCAACCCUCAGUUUGUUUCCUAUGGUUAGGAGUCUCUUAUGUUUGUCUCCGUCUCUGAUGAAAGGGAAGAGUAUUUUAAAACCCUUCUUCUAAUCACCGUGGAUGUUCUUUUUGAGACUAUACUAAAGCAGGACAAACGAUAUUUCCUUAACGGUUAGCUGGAGAAAAAACAAGUGCGUGCAAAGUAGGUGAAGCCGUGUCUGCACCUGAGGGUGACAGGGUCACCUGGUUGACAGGUUCUCGGUCUGUGUAAGAUGUCGUUGGGGGGAGCUGGGUGGACUGUACGUGGAGCUUUCUGUAUGAUUUUUGCAACUUGUUAGAUUUAAACUAUUUGAAAAUAAAAGUUAUUUUAAAAAGGAAAA